GCUGUAGUAAGCCGACGCCUUCUCCGACUCAGGCACACGGUCAGGUACUCCACCUGUGCAGGCAGCGGGGACUCUUGAGUUUCCAGGCACAGCAUGCAACCUUGGCUCCUCAGCAUCCAGCUUCCAGCCCCCAGAUGCACACUGAAGCCGCACACUGAGCUGCACGCUGAGCCGCACACUGGGGCCCCAGGGCACCGCACAAGUUAUGUGUUAUCCCCUAAUAAAUUACUUUAUGUUUACAUGAUUGAGCUAUCCCAUUUCUGUUCCUAAAAACCAUCAAAAGAAAUACGACAGUGGCACCAGUCAACAUUAUAUUUACUUAUUGCAAUCUGUUUAACAAUCAUAGUGGAAUAAAUCUAGAUUUCCUUAAUAUGUAAAUACUCAAAUUUUUCUUUUGUUUUCAGGAUAUUUUGAGAAUGUUUGUUUUAUAUGUAUUAGUUUUUUUUUUAAUGCUUAUUUGUUUGCUUUCCUGGGGUAUUAGUUGCCAGACACAGGAUCUUCGGUGUGUGUGUGGCCUGAGUAGUUGCCCCAAACCAGGGAUGGAAUCCAUGUCCACUGCAUUGCAAGGCAAAUUCUUAACCACUGGAUCACCAAGGAAGUCCCUAUAUCAGGGUUUUUAGAUGAGUUCAUAAGGAUCAAAGAUGAAAAUUGUCUCUCAACACCUUAUCUUGAAAUUUUACAUCUUUCCGUUCUCACACAUCUUUCCACCACAAAUUAAAUAAACCAUUCUAAUAAAGAUACUUAAAUGUCUUUCAUUUGCCUUAAUAUUUUAAACACAGGGAUCCUGGGGCAGGAGCAAGGAGCUACUCAGACCCCUGGUAGGCACUGAAGUAGCCCAGAGAUUGGGGCAUCCGGAGUGUGAUGUGAUGAGGGGCUGAGCCUAGUGGUGGAGUGAACGUGGACAGUUGAAAGGACCCUGCAACUAAAGACCAAAGUGCAGUUCCUUAGCUAGACCAAGAAGGAAAAUCAUCAGAGAGACAGAGACUUCAUGACUAAUCGCCUUUCCUCAUUUACUCACAACCCUUCCCUGAAAAGGGAAGAAGGAGAAGAAAAGGGAAGAAGGGGAACAGGAGAUAGUGCAAGAGGAAGAAAAUCAAAAAUAGUGUUUGACUCUCAGAAAAUUCUAGCAGCUUCAGAUCAUGGAAUUUUCCCCCCAAGUCUCAAGUCAACCCUUCCCUCUUCCCUCUUCUACCUGCCAAUGCAGGAAACUCAGGUUCAAUCCCUGGGUGGGGAAGAUCCCCUGGAGGAGGAAAUGGCAACCCAAUCCAAUAUUCUUGUCUGGAAAUCCAGACAAGAAGAGGCAGGCUGGCUACAGUCCAUAGGAUUGCAGACUUUACUUAGUGACUAA
rnacentral:lncRNA from 1 species